rnacentral:rRNA from 1 species
UACGAAGGGGGCUAGCGUUGCUCGGAAUUACUGGGCGUAAAGGGCGCGUAGGCGGAUAUUUAAGUUGGGGGUGAAAUCCCGGGGCUCAACCUCGGAAUUGCCUUCAAAACUGGAUAUCUUGAGUUCGGGAGAGGUGAGUGGAACUCCGAGUGUAGAGGUGAAAUUCGUAGAUAUUCGGAAGAACACCAGUGGCGAAGGCGACUCACUGGCCCGAUACUGACGCUGAGGCGCGAAGGCGUGGGGAGCAAACAGG